GAAACAAAAAGGGAACCACACGAGGCCCGUCUAAUUACGAGAUCAUCGAAUCAAACGCGCGAGUCGUUAAGAGGCCACCGAGUCGUAACGAUGUAUCUCAUCUAUGUACUUCUUUUCUGUAAUAAUUUCUUCUUCUCCUUCUUCUCUUUCUCUUCUAUUCGUGGUGAAAUUAAAUAUUCGUAAUAUAUUUCGAAGCGUGACGAAGAAUCAUCAUGAAGAGUCGAAUGAUGGAGAAUAUUUUUGGCCGAUUAAAUAACAACAGAUAAAAAGAAGAAUUUGUGAUCUUGCUUGAUAAAACUAUACGAAUGAUUUGAUUAUGUAUGGAUCGAAGAUCGAGAAUCAAUCCUUUGCAUUUUUCGUUUUGUUUGAAAUAUCCUUGCAGGUAAGCUUCGAGGGAAAGCAAAAUUCUUCCGAUUAUUCGUCGACUUGAAAAUCAUCGGGUAAUGUUGUCUCUAGUUCUCGCGUUCGUUCACAUAGAUUGCCAAAAAAAAAUUCACUUUAUGCAUCCAUUUUUACAUUAAGCAUUCGUCUCGUGUAAUUUGAAUUCAAGUUACUUAAGCUCAAACGAGUCGAAUUUAACGAGACUUUAAGGUGACUGUAAUUGAGUAUUUCGCUCUAUAGUCGACUGGAAGAAAUUAAUUCUUCCAGUGAGUCACUGCAAACAAGGGAAAACAGAAGUUACGUGGAUGCAGAAAUAAUGCAGCCUCUUCUAUGUUGCGGAUCGUAAUUGUGUAACCGUUUGAUUUUUUCACUAAAGUUAAUCUCUUUGUGCUGAUUUAAUCAAGGUUGAAACGUGAGAAAUUAAUCGGUUCUUGAAGAAAUGCGCUAUCCUAAGAAUCUCCAAGGAUAAACAGUGAUGUCUGAUGUUGAUCACGCGCAAGAUGAAUAUUCAAUGGCCGCAUUAGGAACUACAUAAUUUCAUCGCGGGAAUAACUUUUCGAAUUACGCCUCCGCUUGAGUCACGCUUCGAAAUCAAUGUCGUCUCUAUGAUGUUUGGUAGGGGAAGGAUGAGCCAAGGAAUUGUCGACAAAGACGAUCUUAUGCUUUUUCACGGCGCUCCUACCGGGUUGAUGCAAAAAUAACGAUCCUCUUCAAACCUCCAUUACGCUAUCGCAAUUAAAAAAACUUCUAAAAAAAGACACUUGUCCCAAUUUUCUAAGAAUCGUACUGCGCAAGAUACGCGUUGAAACACGAUGUUACGAGAUAAUGAAAGAUAAAAGAAAAUAUAUACCGGAAGCGAUGAAUGAAAAAGAAAAAGAAAGGAUUAAUCCUUUCGCUACGAUAGUCUUGCAAUUAAUAAAAGCUCCAAGUUUCCGAUAACCCGAUCAUCAUGUACACCAUUUGAGUCAAUUUCGAUGCGAUUUAAAGAACAUCUGAAAGAAUUGUUAAUAACACGGUCGAUAUUUCAUUUCAAUGCUACACGUUAAACACUGUGAAAUAUUAAAAAAGUUUCGCCUAUUAGAAGAAGAGUGAGAUCAGGGCAUAAAAAUUCGAAGACCGUAGCGAGUCUCGAGUCAUUGAUAUGGAACAAAUAUUCGCACGAAUAUUUCGAUACUUUGUAUAAUCAAUUGAAAUUAUAUUGCAAAUAUUUAUGCAAAUCUUAUUUUCCAAUUCUGCAAAAUAUAUCUCACAUUUGCUAUUUUA